UUUUUUUCAAUGUAUCAUACAAAUUAAUCAUAUUUUACAGAAUUUUCAUCUAAUUGAAAAAUGCUUCUCUUCCGUUAUUUUAUUAGAUUACUUAUUAAAACACAAUUUUAAUGAUAAAAUAAUACUUUAACAGUGGCGGAUCAAGGGGCGUAGAUAGUGUACGUCCCCUAAUCAUGUUUUUUCACAGAUAUUUGUAGCCGAUAUUUAUUUCUUUUUGUAUAGGUACCCCCCUUUUUAAAUCGAAUUUAAAUUGAAUUUUCGCAAAGAAAAUGAUAGUGUUACAUUUUAUUUUUUUCAAAACUGAAAAAAGAAACAUUUAGUAAUUGUUUCCAAAAUUAAGGGAAUUCGUAAUAAUUCUAUGUAGUUUGAAAAGGGUUUCUUGAAAUUGGUCACAUUAAUUUAUUGCUUUUUCUUAUAAAAUGAAAACAAAUGAAGAUCUUGACCUUUUAGUACGUUUUACAGUUUCCUAAAUAUUUUAGAGGCGGAUACAUUUAAAAAAAAAAAAGGUGGAGCUU
rnacentral:lncRNA from 1 species